GAUGAUCUACCCUUGGCCAGGAUGAAGCGCGGGUAACACCGCGUGGAGGUCCGAACCGGUGUUGGUUGAAAACAGCUCGGAUGAGCUGAGGGUAGGGGUGAAAGGCUAAUCAAAUUUCGUGAUUGCCCGUUCUCCUCGAAAUGCCUUUAGGGGCAGCCUCGGAUGGUCGGCGACGGUGGUAGAGCACUGGAUGGACUAGGGGCCUUACCAGGUUACUGAAUCCAACCAAACUUCGAAUGCCGUCGACACGUAGUCCGGGAGUGAGACAGUGGGGGCUAAGCUCCAUUGUCGAAAGGGAAUCAGCCCAGACAUCCAGCUAAGGUCCCAAACUUUGUGCUAAGUGGUAGAGGAUCUGAAGACGCUCAGACAACCAGGAGGUUGGCUUAGAAGCAGCCAUCCUUUAAAGAAAGCGUAAUAGCACACUGGUCAAGCGGCUUUGGGCCGACAAUUCAACGGGGCUUAAGCACAAGACCGAAGCUGAUGACUGAUGGAUUCUGCGGAGUCCAUCUUUGGUAGAGGAGCGUUCUCUUUGCCGUGAAGUCAGACCGUAAGGACUGGUGGAGCGGAGAGAAGUGACCCUGCCGGCAUAAGUAGCGAGAAGGGAAGUGAGAAUCUUCCCCGCCGUAAGCCUAAGGAUUCCUGAGGUAGGUUCGUCCGCUCAGGGUUAGUCGGGAGCUAACGCGAGGCCGAAAGGCGUAGCGGAUGCACAUCUGGUUAAUAUUCCAGAACUACCUAAUAGUCGUUAUCACGAUGAGGGGACGCAGGAAGCUAGACGAGCCCGGAGAGGGCCCGCAAGGGCGCUGGGUUGAGGCAUGUAGGGGGAUCCGCCAGGAAAAUCCGGUGGGUCACAUACCCUGAGGUGUCAGAGCGAGAGCCGCAAGGCUCAUAAAGUCGUCGACGCUACGCUGCCGAGAAAAGCCUCUAAGGAGACUGUUGGGUACCCGUACCGCAAACCGACACAGGUAGGCGAGGAGAAAAUCCUCAGGCGCAAGUGAGAAUCCACGUUUAGGAACUAGGCAAAAUUACCCCGUAACUUCGGGAUAAGGGGUGCUCCAUUACCGUCAGUGACCUCGCGUCACGAAGCGGGAAGGAGUUGCAGUUAAGAGGCUCAGGCGACUGUUUACUAAAAACACAGGGCUCUGCAAAGUCGAAAACGACGUAUAGGGUCUGACGCCUGCCCGGUGCCGGAAGGUUAAAAGUAGAGGUCAGCCGCAAGGCGAAGCUUUGAAUUGAAGCCCCGGUAAACGGCGGCCGUAACUAUAACGGUCCUAAGGUAGCGAAAUUCCUUGUCGGGUAAGUUCCGACCUGCACGAAUGGCGUAACGAUCUGAGCGCUGUCUCAACGUGGAACACUGCGAAUUUGUGGUACCGGUGAAGACGCCGGUUGCCCGUCACAAGACG
rnacentral:rRNA from 1 species